rnacentral:rRNA from 1 species
UUUGAUCCUGGCUCAGGACGAACGCUGGCGGCGUGCCUAAUACAUGCAAGUCGAGCGGACAGAUGGGAGCUUGCUCCCUGAUGUUAGCGGCGGACGGGUGAGUAACACGUGGGUAACCUGCCUGUAAGACUGGGAUAACUCCGGGAAACCGGGGCUAAUACCGGAUGCUUGUUUGAACCGCAUGGUUCAAACAUAAAAGGUGGCUUCGGCUACCACUUACAGAUGGACCCGCGGCGCAUUAGCUAGUUGGUGAGGUAACGGCUCACCAAGGCAACGAUGCGUAGCCGACCUGAGAGGGUGAUCGGCCACACUGGGACUGAGACACGGCCCAGACUCCUACGGGAGGCAGCAGUAGGGAAUCUUCCGCAAUGGACGAAAGUCUGACGGAGCAACGCCGCGUGAGUGAUGAAGGUUUUCGGAUCGUAAAGCUCUGUUGUUAGGGAAGAACAAGUACCGUUCGAAUAGGGCGGUACCUUGACGGUACCUAACCAGAAAGCCACGGCUAACUACGUGCCAGCAGCCGCGGUAAUACGUAGGUGGCAAGCGUUGUCCGGAAUUAUUGGGCGUAAAGGGCUCGCAGGCGGUUCCUUAAGUCUGAUGUGAAAGCCCCCGGCUCAACCGGGGAGGGUCAUUGGAAACUGGGGAACUUGAGUGCAGAAGAGGAGAGUGGAAUUCCACGUGUAGCGGUGAAAUGCGUAGAGAUGUGGAGGAACACCAGUGGCGAAGGCGACUNNNNGGUCUGUAACNGACGNGA